GCCGAGGUGGCCCAGCCCGGUAAGGCGCGAGCCUGGAGAGCUCGUGUCGCUCUGCGACUCGGGAGUUCAAAUCUCCCCCUCGGCG
rnacentral:tRNA from 2 species